AUGAACGCUGGCGGCGUGCCUUAAGCAUGCAAGUCGAACGGGAUUUUGGAGUCGCAAGAUUUUAAUUUUCAGUGGCGGACGGGUGAGUACAAGUAAGGAACGUACCCUAAACUAUCGCAUAGCUCGUCGAAAGACGGGGUAAUUCGGUAUGUGAUCGCAAGAUUAAAGAGCGUAACAACUCGGUUUUGGAGCGGCCUUAUGUCUAUCAGCUAGUUGGUGGGGUAAAAGCCUACCAAGGCGACGACGGAUAGGGGGUGUGAGAGCACGACCCCCCACAAUGGCACUGAGACACGGGCCAUACAUCUACGGAUGGCAGCAACUGGGAAUAUUCGGCAAUGGACGAAAGUCUGACCGAGCGACGCCGCGUGAGGGAUGAAGGUUUUCGGAUCGUAAACCUCUUUUGCCAAGCAGUCGAUGCUUGGAGAAUAAGCACCUACAAACUACGU
rnacentral:rRNA from 1 species